GCGGCAUGCCUAAGAUAUGCAAGUCGAACGACGAAUCUCGGACUUCUUAAGUUCGCUUUUGAAGACUGAGUUGAAAGUGGCAAACGGGUGCGUAACACGUAGAUAACCUGCCUUGUACACGAGAAUAGCUCCGUGAAAGCGGAGGUAAUGCUCGAUGGUCUAUUACAGUGCAACUCUGUAAUGGUAAAGCUUCGGCGGUACAAGAGGGGUCUGCGGCCUAUCAGCUUGUUGGUGAGGUAAUGGCUCACCAAGGCAUAGACGGGUAGGGGGCGUGAGAGCGUGGCCCCCCACAGUGGGACUGAGACACGGCCCACACUCCUACGGGAGGCAGCAAUUAGGAAUCUUGCGCAAUGGGGGAAACCCUGACGCAGCAAUGCCGCGUGAAGGAAGACGGUCUACGGAUUGUAAACUUCUUUUAUUAGGGAGCAGGAAGGAUAGUACCUAAUGAAUAAGCACCUGCUAACUGCGUGCCAGAAGCCUCGGUGAUACGUAGGGUGCAAGCGUUGUCCGGAUUUAUUGGGCGUAAAGUGACUGUAGGUGGUUGAGUAAGUUCUGUUUCAAAGACCCAGGCUCAACUUGGGGAAGGGAUAGAAAGCUACUCAACUAGAGGGAGGCAGAGGAAUACGGAAUAUGUGGUGUAGCGGUAGAAUGCGUUGAUAUCACAUAGAACGCCGACAGCGAAGGCAGUAUUCUGGGCCUCUCCUGACACUCAUAGUCGAAAGCCAGGGUAGCGAAACGGAUUAGAUACCCGUGUAGUCCUGGCCGUAAAUGAUGCUAGUUAGAUGUCGGUUCCGUAAAAUCGGAAUCGGGGUCGCAGCUAACGCGUUAAACUAGCCGCCUGGGGAGUACGGUCGCAAGGCUGAAACUUAAAGGAAUUGGCGGGGACCCGCACAAGCAGUGGAGCACGUGGUUUAAUUCGACGGUGAUCGCUGAAUCUUACCAGGGUUUGAAUAUAGCUGUGGUUUCUAAGAAACUAGAAACGUCUACGAGAACGCUAUACAGGUGCUGCACGGCCGUUGUCAGCUCGUGCUGUGAAGUGUACCGUUAAGUCGGGUAACGAGCGCAACCCUUGUCCUAUGUUACAAGUGUCUUAGGAGACUGCCGUGGUCAAACACGGAGGAAGGAGGGGAUGACUUCUGGUCUUCAUAUCCCUUAUACCCUGGGCUACACACGCGCUACAAUGGUUGGUACAAAGGGCUGCUAAACUGUGAGGUGGAGCUAUCCCAUAAAACCAACCUCAGUUCGGAUUGAAGGCUGAAAUUCGCCUUCAUGAAUGUUGGAAUUGCUAGUAAUCGUAGAUCAGACAUGCUACGGUGAUACGUUCUCGGGUCUUGCACACACCGCCCGUCA
rnacentral:rRNA from 1 species